GAAGGUGCAGAUGGGGAAAACAUCUCUGUUGAUUUUGGAGGAGAAAUUAAUUGGGAUAUUGGUGAGAUUGAAUCUUCAGGCGGAACACCAACAAUUGAUUGGGGUGAAGGGGUUGGAGAAAUUGAGAUU
rnacentral:rRNA from 13 species